AGCUUUGUGCAGUGGCAGUUUAGUAGCAAAUGAGGUUUAUCCAAGGCACCAUUAUUGCUAAUUGAAUGAAUGAAUAAAUAAAUAAAUAACCUGUAUUAUCUUAAUGUAACAGCUUAUUAUCUAUUCUUUAUUACAGGCAAAAGUGCC